rnacentral:ncRNA from 1 species
GGUCACCAGCAAUGAAUGCUUGGACCCGGACGAGGGAGCCGUACCCGGAGAGCGACAAGACGGCCAGA